UUGUGUUACUAGGACACUGGGUACUAAGAAGACUUUCCAUUUGUUUCAUUAAACUUUCAAUAAAGGCUUUGUGUGUAAUUUACGUUCUUGAAAAAAGAAAGAUUCAAGCUCAAUUAAACGUAAAACACCCAGUGAAGGAUUAUCUGCUGCCCCCUUAACUUCUGGAGAGUUCUAAAAAGCUGAGGACAAAAUUAGUGUUCUCAGAAGCACAGUUACAAACCUCGGCGGUGCCUACCUGGAGAUGGUGACAACGGAGAGGUGCUAGGUCGACAGGGGGCUGGCUAGUUGCCAGAGUGGGUGGCCAGGGCCAGAGACAGAGGAGAUCAGAGAGGGGUCUAAAAAGCCCAAUUAGGGCAGCAAGGCAAGCGGCGUUUUCAGCACAAUUCUGUUCGGAACCCGAAGUUGGCCGGCCUGCUCCGAACAGCGACUCCAAGUCUCCGACUUCUGCUGAGUCUACUCGGGAUUCCUUUCAAAGCCGCUUCCACCUCACACAAGCUGGGUAGUGCCCCAGCGCCCGCAGGCGCCUCAGGCCGACCGCCCACACCGGCCCAUCUGACACUCUGGGUGAGCCCGGUCAGGCUUCAAAAACUAUUUUUAACUACGGUGUAUGUAACGCCGAAUUUUAAAUUCUCCCGACACAGGGCAACAAUAGCUGAAGCCUCUGGAAAAGCUGACCCACGGCAGGCGCUUUCUGGGAAAGCUGUGCUCUUUCCAGACCGUCAGAGUGGGAACGCUUCGCACGCAGGGAAACUGAGGGACGCUUCGGCGACUAGAAUCAAACCUCGAGACCUGAGUGCUAAUGAGCCCCGCGCCCCGACGCGGCUCCGCCUCCCAGCGGCUUCCUCUGAAGUCCUCCACCAAGUCUUCAAACCUGAGCUAACUUUUUACCGGUAAAGAGAAAAAGAAGUGACCAUCAACAAAGGUCCUGUGUUUGGUGACUGGAUUAUGACACUAUGACCUACCAUCAAGAAGCUUCGUCUCAGAGAAGGAAACAGAACUAACCAAAAGUUUACAGAUUGUACGACAGCGUGAUAAGGGAAACAUGUACGUGGGCAAAGGGAGAAGACAGCGCCUAACGGAGUCACUUGGGCAGGCUGUACUUGGGGUCCAGGACAGAGUUCACCAGUCACAGCUCCAGAAGUACAGAUCACAAAGUCCUGCAAGGACAACCAGUUAAAACACCUACUGACACAUAUUCAUAUUAGAAAUCUAUAUUAGAUAAAAUUAGAGAAAUUUGUAAUCAAUCAAAUUUAUAAUUAGAUGAAGUCUAUGUUAGAUAAAAAGCAACAUCAAAGCCCACUAGGAGUGCACAGAAUACUGGGCCAGUGAUAGAUGUAUCAUUAACAUAUAUAUUGUGUGAUUUAGUGAGAAAAUAUUGCAGUAAAUGGGUGCUACUACAUUAUGAAUCAUCAAAUACUAUGUGUAACAUAAGAAUAUUCAAGGGCUUUGGUAUGCUAAUAUGAAACUAUAUGAAACUACCUUUAAGUGAACUCUGCUGCAUUCUUUAGAGUCAUUGCACAAUUAAAUGACAAACAUAAGGUAUGAGAAAUAUGCAGGUAGAGAAACUGGUACACUGAUUCUAGCAUGACCUAUAUAAUUGGAGUUUACAGCUGCCAAUUUUUGCCCAAGGCAGGUCAGACCAGUAAUUCAGGCAGGAGGAGUCUUACUACUAACCAAAUACCUAAUUUAGGACCAAAAUCAAGUGUAUGCAAAAAUUAGUUUGACUUGUUUGACAUUCUUAUAAAAAUUGUCUUUCUUAUAGCUAUUACCUUGGAUUCAUUCUAAAAGUUGUCAAGUCAAUGUUAUUAACUAUCGUGAAAUCCAGAAAGUUACCUGGUCCAACUUUACGAUUAGUGGUUAAAAUGCUUUUCCUUCUCUAAAAACUGGUAGCAGUACUGUAUUUUCUAAUAUUAUAUCUAUAAAUUUGAAGAAUUCUGUAACUCCUAUAAUAAAUAUAUCCACAUUCCCCUAAGGUUUGCAAUUAUCAACAUAUUCAGCUAGUCAAUUUUUAUAUGAGUGAAGCAAUUCCAGACUUUUUUUUUGAAAAUAAAUUAUUUAUCUACUGUAUUCUGUUCUGGUUAUUCUCAUG